GCUACGGUAGUGCAAAGGUUCAGCGCGCACUCACGGAAAGAGUGAGAUCUGGGUUCGAACUCCAGCUGACGCAAACG